rnacentral:rRNA from 1 species
UACGUAGGGUGCAAGCGUUAAUCGGAAUUACUGGGCGUAAAGCGUGCGCAGGCGGUUCGCUAAGACAGAUGUGAAAUCCCCGGGCUUAACCUGGGAACUGCAUUUGUGACUGGCGGACUAGAGUAUGGCAGAGGGGGGUAGAAUUCCACGUGUAGCAGUGAAAUGCGUAGAGAUGUGGAGGAAUACCGAUGGCGAAGGCAGCCCCCUGGGCCAAUACUGACGCUCAUGCACGAAAGGCGUGGG